rnacentral:rRNA from 1 species
CGCGUAGGCGGUGCGGUAAGUCACCUGUGAAAUCCCCGGCGUUAACUCGGGCCGUGCAGGCGAAACUAGCCGUGCUGGAGGGUGGGAGAGGUGCGUGGAGUUCCCGGUGUAGCGGUGAAAUGCGUAGAUAUCGGGAGGAACACCUGUGGCGAAAGCGGCGCACUGGACCACUACUGACGCUGAGGCGCGAAAGCCGGGGGAGCAAACAGGAUUAGAUACCCUGGUAGUCCCGGCCCUAAACGAUGAUUGCUUGGUGUGAUCGGUACCCAAUCCGAUUGUGCCGCAGCUAACGCGAUAAGCAAUCCGCCUGGGGAGUACGGUCGCAAGGCUGAA